rnacentral:rRNA from 1 species
ACUCCUACGGGAGGCAGCAGUAGGGAAUCUUCCACAAUGGACGAAAGUCUGAUGGAGCAACGCCGCGUGAACGAUGAAGGCUUCGGUCGUAAAGUUCUGUUGUAAGGGAAGAACAAGUGCCGCAGGCAAUGGCGGCACCUUGACGGUACCUUGCGAGAAAGCCACGGCUAACUACGUGCCAGCAGCCGCGGUAAUACGUAGGUGGCAAGCGUUGUCCGGAAUUAUUGGGCGUAAAGCGCGCGCAGGCGGCCUCUUAAGUCUGAUGUGAAAGCCCCGGCUCAACCGGGGGAGGGGCCAUUGGAAACUGGGAGGCUUGAGUAUAGGAGAGAAGAGUGGAAUUCCACGUGUAGCGGUGAAAUGCGUAGAGAUGUGGAGGAACACCAGUGGCGAAGGCGACUCUUUGGCCUAUAACUGACGCUGAGGCGCGAAAGCGU